AGUGAACGCUGGCGGUAGGCCUAACACAUGCAAGUCGAACGGCAGCACAGUAAGAGCUUGCUCUUACGGGUGGCGAGUGGCGGACGGGUGCGGAAUACAUCGGAAUCUACUUUUUCGUGGGGGCUAACGUAGGGAAACUUACGCUAAUACCGCAUACGACCUACGGGUGAAAGCAGGGGAUCUUCGGACCUUGCGCGAUUGAAUGAGCCGAUGUCGGAUUAGCUAGUUGGCGGGGUAAAGGCCCACCAAGGCGACGAUCCGUAGCUGGUCUGAGAGGAUGAUCAGCCACACUGGAACUGAGACACGGUCCAGACUCCUACGGGAGGCAGCAGUGGGGAAUAUUGGACAAUGGGCGCAAGCCUGAUCCAGCCAUACCGCGUGUGUGAAGAAGGCCUUCGGGUUGUAAAGCCCUUUUGGUGGGAAAGAAAAGCAGCAGGUUAAUACCCCGCUGUUCUGACGGUACCCAAAGAAUAAGCACCGGCUAACUUCGUG
rnacentral:rRNA from 1 species